rnacentral:lncRNA from 1 species
UUGCCCUCAAGGUUGAGUGACGGAAACGCUCUGGACAGGUCCGACAUUGCUUCCCACGACGCCUCUUCAGGUGGAACUCCCUCCCACUGAACGAGUAGUUCUACUACUUGCCUAUUCUGUUUCAAGACUGUUCUGUUUCCCAAUAUGGCCAUCGGGACUGUGAAAAUCUGAUUCUUCCACAAUAGUUCAGGUAACACUUGUGCUUGUUGAUCUGGAUUUCCCCCUUUAUAUUUUUUUAAUCUUGAUAUGUGAAACACAAUAUGAAUUUUGCUUGUCUCGGGUAAAUCGAUUUCAUAUGCCACUCUGUUAAUUAUUUUUACCACUUGAAAAUGCCCAAAAUAUCGCGGCGACAAUUUUGGGUGUAGACGAAGCCUCACAGUGAUCUGUCGGUAUGGUUGUAAUCUGACCAUAACCCAUUCCCCAACAGUAAGCUCGACUUCCACUCUUUUCUUAUCCACUACUUCUUUCAUAUAGUGUUGUGUUUUUUCCAUAUUUUCUUUAAUUGAUUUUAUAAUUAAUGAUCUUCUUUGCAGAUCGUCUUGGACAGCCUCGACGACAGACGAACUUCCCACAAAAGACGAUAAUGCCGGUGUUUCCCUUCCAUAUAGGGCUUUGAAUGGCGACAUUCCAAUGGAACUAUUGAAAGUUGAAUUAUGCCACAAUUCGGCCCAAGCUAAUGCUUCUAACCAUGUUUUAGGAUUCUCAUACGUAAUCGAACGCAAAAACAUCUCUAAUCCUCUAUUGGUGACCUCCGUUUGUCCAUCCAUUUGUGGGUGGUAAGCGGAUGACAUCUUUCAAGUGGUUCCACUGAUACGGUGGAUCUCCUUCCAAAACCUCCCCGUAAAUACUUUAUCUCGGUCCGACACGAUCGAUUGAGGUAUGUCAUGUAAUUUUACCACUAUCUCGAUGAAAGCUUGCGCGACUUCGGUUGCCGUAUAAUUAUUAAUUAAUGGAGCUAGGUGACAACACUUAGAAAGUCUAUCGACCACCACCAUUAGAACAGACUUGCCCUUCACCUUUGGUAAUCCUGUUAUGAAAUCCAUACAUAUCUCCGACCAUACCGCUUUCCGAUAUUGGUAAAGGCAUUAGUAAUCUUUGAUAUUUAGAUGUUGG